ACGCUCGACACCUACGGGAGGGAGCAGUGGGGAAUAUUGCACAAUGGGGGAAACCCUGAUGCAGCGACGCCGCGUGAAGGAUGAAGUAUUUCGGUAUGUAAACUUCUAUCAGCAGGGAAGAAAGUGACGGUACCUGACUAAGAAGCCCCGGCUAACUACGUGCCAGCAGCAGCGGUAAUCUGAGCGGGCUGGCAAGGC
rnacentral:rRNA from 1 species